AUCACCUGGCCAAUACCAUACCUACGGUGAAGCAUGGGGUUGGCAGCAUCAUGCUGUGGGAAUGUUUUUCAGCGGCUGGAACUGGGAGACUGGAUUGAGGGAAAGAU